GUGGGGAAUAUUGGACAAUGGGGGGAACCCUGAUCCAGCCAUGCCGCGUGUGUGAAGAAGGCCUUUUGGUUGUAAAGCACUUUAAGCGAGGAGGAGGCUACCGAGAUUAAUACUCUUGGAUAGUGGACGUUACUCGCAGAAUAAGCACCGGCUAACUCUGUGCCAGCAGCCGCGGUAAUACAGAGGGUGCAAGCGUUAAUCGGAUUUACUGGGCGUAAAGCGCGCGUAGGUGGCCAAUUAAGUCAAAUGUGAAAUCACCGAGCUUAACUUGGGAAUUGCAUUCGAUACUGGUUGGCUAGAGUAUGGGAGAGGAUGGUAGAAUUCCAGGUGUAGCGGUGAAAUGCGUAGAGAUCUGGAGGAAUACCGAUGGCGAAGGCAGUCAUCUGGCCUAAUACUGACACUGAGGUGCGAAAGCAUGGGGAGCAAACAGGAUUAGAUACCCUAGUAGUCC
rnacentral:rRNA from 1 species